rnacentral:rRNA from 1 species
CUUUCUUUGCUGGCGACCGGCGCACGGGUGAGUAACACGUAUCCAACCUGCCGAUAACUCCGGAAUAGCCUUUCGAAAGAAAGAUUAAUACCGGAUAGUAUACGAAUAUCGCAUGAUAUUUUUAUUAAAGAAUUUCGGUUAUCGAUGGGGAUGCGUUCCAUUAGUUUGUUGGCGGGGUAACGGCCCACCAAGACUACGAUGGAUAGGGGUUCUGAGAGGAAGGUCCCCCACAUUGGAACUGAGACACGGUCCAA